GCCACGCCCCCGUGAGCCCGCCCUCGAAAUCACUCUUAAAGGGUCCGCUCCUGGCUCGCGACUCCCCAGUGCCCUGGCCCAGAAAAGAGGAUUCCAGCCCGCGAAGCUCAUUGCGAUUCCAAAGCCUCUUCUCCACCACCCGCCACCUCCCAAUCACUAUUCAGUCCUGGCCUGAAAGCAGGAAGAACAGGACAGACCAGGGUCAGCUCUCCAUUGUACAGCCUCUCACUAAGUGCCUACUGUGUGCCAGGCACUGUUCCUGAACCAGGUCUCACAUCCAGGUCACGCUGAUGCAAGAGAUGGGUUCCCACGGUCUUGGGCAGCUCCAUUCCUGUGGCUUUGCAGGGUACAGGCUUCCUCCUGGCUGCUUUCACGGGCUGGUGGUCCCAGUGACCUGCCGAGUGGGAAGAGCUGUCGGCCUCCCAGUGGUGACGACGACCUCGCUGUGCUCGUGGCAGCAGCACUCUCAAAUCUGGGCACGGUGAUGGGAAGGUUAUUUGUUGGAAUCCCUUUGCCUUUCCAAGGGAAAAUAAACACAAAAAGUGAGAA